rnacentral:rRNA from 1 species
GAUGAACGCUGGCGGCGUGCUUAACACAUGCAAGUCGAGCGAAGCGCUUUGGCGGAUUUCUUCGGAUUGAAGCCUUGGUGACUGAGCGGCGGACGGGUGAGUAACGCGUGGGUAACCUGCCUCAUACAGGGGGAUAACAGUUGGAAACGACUGCUAAUACCGCAUAAGCGCACAGUACCGCAUGGUACGGUGUGAAAAACUCCGGUGGUAUGAGAUGGACCCGCGUCUGAUUAGGUAGUUGGUGGGGUAACGGCCUACCAAGCCGACGAUCAGUAGCCGACCUGAGAGGGUGACCGGCCACAUUGGGACUGAGACACGGCCCAAACUCCUACGGGAGGCAGCAGUGGGGAAUAUUGCACAAUGGGGGAAACCCUGAUGCAGCGACGCCGCGUGAGCGAUGAAGUAUUUCGGUAUGUAAAGCUCUAUCAGCAGGGAAGAAAAUGACGGUACCUGACUAAGAAGCCCCGGCUAACUACGUGCCAGCAGCCGCGGUAAUACGUAGGGGGCAAGCGUUAUCCGGAUUUACUGGGUGUAAAGGGAGCGUAGACGGCAUGGCAAGCCAGAUGUGAAAGCCCGGGGCUCAACCCCGGGACUGCAUUUGGAACUGUCAGGCUAGAGUGUCGGAGAGGAAAGCGGAAUUCCUAGUGUAGCGGUGAAAUGCGUAGAUAUUAGGAGGAACACCAGUGGCGAAGGCGGCUUUCUGGACGAUGACUGACGUUGAGGCUCGAAAGCGUGNGGAGCANACAGG